rnacentral:rRNA from 1 species
GAUGAACGCUGGCGGCGUGCUUAACACAUGCAAGUCGAACGGGAAUUAUUUUAUUGAAACUUCGGUCGAUUUAAUUUAAUUCUAGUGGCGGACGGGUGAGUAACGCGUGGGUAACCUGCCUUAUACAGGGGGAUAACAGUCAGAAAUGGCUGCUAAUACCGCAUAAGCGCACAGAGCUGCAUGGCUCAGUGUGAAAAACUCCGGUGGUAUAAGAUGGACCCGCGUUGGAUUAGCUUGUUGGCAGGGUAACGGCCUACCAAGGCGACGAUCCAUAGCCGGCCUGAGAGGGUGAACGGCCACUUUGGGACUGAGACACGGCCCAGACUCCUACGGGAGGCAGCAGUGGGGAAUAUUGCACAAUGGGGGAAACCCUGAUGCAGCGACGCCGCGUGAAGGAAGAAGUAUCUCGGUAUGUAAACUUCUAUCAGCAGGGAAGAUAGUGACGGUACCUGACUAAGAAGCCCCGGCUAACUACGUG